AGUCUUAUAGUCAAAAAUGAUAUUAAAUUGCAAGUUUAAAGGAAAAGUAAUUUUAAGGCUU
rnacentral:tRNA from 1 species